rnacentral:snRNA from 1 species
AUGCUCAUUUUGGCAGCAUGCCAUACUAAAUUGCAAUGACACAGAGAAAGAUUAGCAUGGUCCUUGAGCAAGAAAGACACGUAAAUUCAUGAAGUGUUCUAUGCUUUU